AGCAUGAAGAAAAGGAGCAGGCUGCAGCUACCCUCAGGGCGUAAAAGGCAGAGGAGAGGAGCGAGAGGGCCCGGUUAAAGGCGGCCCGCCCCACCAUCCGCCAACAGACCGCCACCGGCAGAAGGAACACCCCCGCAACCUCCUCCACCACCAUCACUGGCCCUGGAACCACCGCCGGCAGGAAGAGGCCCCCUCCAGCUGCCGUGCCUCUGCACCCCCAAACACCUCUGCUGUGUCCAUCUCUGGCAACACCAUCGCCAGCCCCUUAGACACUGCCCCACUCCUACGAGGCUCCCCCAACAUCAACAAGGGUCCGGCGCCCUUCCACUUGACUGCCUGCCUCUACCAUCCAACUGCCCUCCUCCACUGUAAAAAGGAAAAGAUCAGCGGCCAGUACACCUCCAACCCAUCCUCCCUCCACAGCUUCAUCGCAUUCAGAUCAUCACUCAUCUGAGCCAAGAACCCGUUCCCCGUCCUCCUCGUCUUCCCAGGAACCAGCACUCACCCGGC